ACUCACAGGCCUUACAUGAAGCAAACUGACUCAUGAAGACUGUGGAAAGGAAAAUACCCCUCUCUGGAGCCCAGCACUGGCCUCCUUCAGAGAGCCACCAUGCUCCACAGUAUCCCUCAGGAGGCUCAGGUCAUCCUCUUGGGACCUUGGGCCAGGCUUGAACCCGGUGGCAUCCCAGAUUGCUUCAUCUCUGAAAAAUCUCAGGAAGACACCAUGACUGCUACAAAUUCCUGCAAGGAAAGAGAGCUGUGGCACAAAACGAGCAGAGCUUGGGUGCGAAGUUAAUCUCACAACCUCUCUAUGCCACCGACAUCUCUGACCAUCUCUUGAACUAGUCCUGGUAAUUUUGACUCCUGGCUCACACCAUACCAAAGAGAUCUCAGAACAGGUACUGCCUCCCUCUGCCCACAGUGUAUUUACAGAUUGAAUUUACUAUUUUCUCAUUGUGUGCCAAGAGUCCAUCUUCUGCCCGGCUCUUUGUCUCUACCUCUUCCCCAGCUGUUGCUAUCGCAUCAUCUCAUCAGCAUACGCUUUCAGUUCCCUUUGAGACUAUAUAAAGAGGUAUAAAAGAACAUAAAUUCACAUUUUUUUCCCCCUAAAUAUAUUAAAGACUUGACUACUUCUCAGCAUACUAAAACUAGAUUCAUACAAAGAGGCUUUGAAAAGGUCAAAUUCUGUGAUGAUCCAGUCUCUAACUACAUUAUAUUCAACUGUGCUUAUAUUCUUUUUGUGUUCAUUUUGUCAGGCUAUGCUAACAAAUGAGUUUGCUGAUAUUAUUUAUGGGAUGGUAAAUCUUACGUGCAACAACAUAAAAUUCAUACUAAUGAGCAGAAAUCCAUCACUGAUCUGUAUGUUCAGUCAAAACAAAAAUAGAUAUCUCGGACUGUGGAUAAAAAAUUCUUAAUAAGUACUGAAGAUACACAAUUUGAGGAUUAAAUUAUUCAUAAAAUUUCCACUGACUUCAAAUAAUAUGUAUAUUUGACAAAUCUGUAAGUCAUUUCUGGUUAAUCUGUAGAUGGGAAAAGUCGAAAAUUUCCAUAUAUGUGCUCCUUACAUUUUUUUUUUUAAAUAACAACCUCCUAAUUUUAUUGAAUUUAGAAUCUUGAAAGUUUCCUAAUGAAGCACACUUUGAUUAGUUUCAAGAUUGUAUCGCUCUCUAAAUUGGUUUACACUGAUAUGAUUUCACAGCUAUCAGUGGAGCUCAACUGAUUUAUUCUUGAUGAAGAUCUUGCCUGCAACAAGGUACUAAAAUGUAAGAGAUGGGCUGUGCAGGAAGUGCCACUGCUGGAAGUGUCUCCAAAGAAAUUCUGGCAGGUCCUGAUUAUCUAUGCAGACCUUGGAUUUGUCUCUUGGAUAGUGUCUGGCUUCCAGCAAAGCUGAGGAGUAUUCCUGUUCUAUAUUGGUGUGUGGGAAAAUCACAUUGACUGUACAGAUCAAUGGGUCAGACACAUAGAGGCCUUCUGUAUGCAGGCUAAAUAAAGAUCUGUUGAAAUGUGCCAUAUAACCCACGUUCAGAGAGCUGAAUUUCCCAGAAACAAGCUAGUAUUUCAACCAGCCCCUCGGUGUGAAUAACACUCAGUAUCUUCUGCUGGAAGUGACUGAAAGGAUCUAGCAUUUUCCUAGAAAAAUGACAAUCUACUAUUUGGGAGUUGCCAGAGAAUGAGGCUGUUUCCUGCAUUGAUUGAUGCUCUGAAAUGCUCACCCACAACCAACUCAAGGGUACUCCUUCCAAGAACACAAUGCUUGUGACUUUAGUGGAAAUGAGAGAUAAGGAGAAGAUCCUCCAGGCUGCCUGGAAAGAGAGAAGCAUUGAAUUCCAAGGGCAAGUGAUAACAAUUUCUCCAGACUUCAGCAAGAAGAUACAAGAAAGAAGGUAGAACUUUAAAAAGCCUUUGUAGAUUUUAAAUCCAAGCCUGUCGUCUCUUAUGAAAAUGGGAGUUCUACAUGAAAAUAAAGAUUACUCCUUCUGGGAUGCAGAUUGAGGGAAACAGUUUUUAACAGAUAUCACCUCCAUUGUUGCUGUGGGCCAUUUGGAUGGAUUAAUUCCUCGUGUUUUAAUGGCAGAGCCCAGGUAGCACAUCCUGGCAUUGUGUGCUCUGUGCACAGAAACCCUUGGGAGUUGCAAACUGUCCACGAAGUCUACUCCAUCAUGGGGACUGAGACAGAUGGCACAGCUGCCAAAGCUGGCAGGGCUGAGCAUCUGGUAAUGCAUUGAUUUAAAGCAGUUCUCAAGCAGCGUCCGCAGUGUUGUUGAACUGAGAUGAGCACAGUUCAGAGUUACUAUCCUGCUGGAGCCCAAGGGUGUUGCCACAGCCUCUUAUUGGAAGCAAGUACCAAAUGCUUUGGAAGGUGAAGAAAAGCAGCCUCCCUUCUGGGCAACCUGUCAGGAACUGCUGAUAUCAGGGAGGGAGUCAGAGCUGUGGAAGGUUACUGCUACCACUGUUUCACAGUGAAGUUUGGAUUCCUUUAGCAAAGCUCUUGUCAGGAUUUUAUUUUAUUUUUUGGCAUUGUCAGUGCUUUCUCUCUUUCUCUCCCUCCCUCUCUCUCUGUCUUGAAUAAACAAUGUCUGGUUUAAAUAUAA